rnacentral:pre_miRNA from 1 species
CAGCAUGCGAUGUGCAUCUUGAACAAUGGUAUUCAAGUGUCAAGAAAUGCACCUCAUUCUUUUGAAACUUGAAUACCAUCGUUGCAGAUGCUCAUCGGAUGUUGG